GACGAACGCUGGCGGCGUGCCUAAUACAUGCAAGUAGAACGCACAGUUUAUACCGUAGCUUGCUACACCAUAGACUGUGAGUUGCGAACGGGUGAGUGACGCGUAGGUAACCUGCCUGGUAGCGGGGGAUAACUAUUGGAAACGAUAGCUAAUACCGCAUAAUAUUGAUUAUUGCAUGAUAAUUGAUUGAAAGAUGCUAUUGCAUCACUACCAGAUGGACCUGCGUUGUAUUAGCUAGUAGGUGAGGUAACGGCUCACCUAGGCGACGAUACAUAGCCGACCUGAGAGGGUGAUCGGCCACACUGGGACUGAGACACGGCCCAGACUCCUACGGGAGGCAGCAGUAGGGAAUCUUCGGCAAUGGACGAAAGUCUGACCGAGCAACGCCGCGUGAGUGAAGAAGGUUUUCGGAUCGUAAAGCUCUGUUGUAAGAGAAGAACGGGUGUGAGAGUGGAAAGUUCACACUGUGACGGUAUCUUACCAGAGAGGGACGGCUAACUACGUG
rnacentral:rRNA from 1 species